rnacentral:tRNA from 1 species
GUGCUUGUAGCUCAGCUGGAUAGAGCGCAACCCUCCGAAGGUUGAGGUCACGAGUUCGAAUCCCGUCAAGCACACCA